GUUCUGAAACCUAAUUUUCUUUUUUCGCCUCCCUCACUCACUCCACUGAAAUUCCAAGCUGAAGAAGAAGAGCAUUGCAUAACGGGGAUACUCUAAAAUCAUUUAUUCAAAAGGUUAAAGGUGUCACUGAAAUCAACAGUUUUAUAUGUAAGUGUGUUUACCCUAAUUUUGAAGAUUUGAUUUGUCAAACUGAACAUUGAUUUACUCUAUCAGAUCCGAUGUGAUUCCCUAGCAUCAUUAGAAUGUGACAUUGAUGCUGUUGGAAUGGAUUAUUCAUCAAAAUCUAUAGAUUUUUCUGUUCAAUUGUUUGGUUAUGAUUUCGGUUUGGUUUUACUGUGGUUUUAUAAUAGCUAUGAUGAUAUGAGGUUUCUUAGUUGUUGGAACCCACCCACUAAAGAAUACAAAAAAAUGCUCUAGAUCUGCCUUCAUUCGUCAGCUUUCCUGUUAUACAUAUCUCACAUUCAUUCAACGUCUUCUCCAAAUCUUUAGAUUAUUCUGUGUAUUGCAAUUGUUUAAUUAUGAUUUGGGUAAAUAAGGCUCUAUGUAAGAAAGGUAUCUUAAUUAUUAUUUGAUGCUUAAGAAUGCUAUUGAUUUGUGCCAAGGAUUUGUUCGCGGAGUUUAAUUUUAGCUUCAGAUGUCUGCCAAGUUCCCAUGAGGUGGAUAAGAGCAUGAGAAUGUAGCCCCCAUUAGGUUUCUUUGUUGUGGAAACCCAUCCACUAAAGAAUACAAAAAAGUACAAAUGGAAGGCAAAUCCCCCAAGACCAGUGUGAAAGAGGGAAAGUUAAUUUUGUUUCAUUGGGUUCAGAUUCGAGUUAUGUAGAAGGGAAGACAAAAGAUAAGAAAAGAGGAAGGCUGUGUUCACUAACAGAUCAGAUUGUGUGUCUAUGAUAAUGGAUGUUUAUAAGAAGAUCAAAGUUAACUAUUUAGAUUGGGGAGAAACUUUGAGUCUACCUCAGCAACAAGCACUACUUGACAUCUGAGGUUACUUAAAAAAUCAUGGAAGAAUGUUUCUGCGUACCUCUAGCACUCAUCAACGUUGGUCGAACUGUGCCUCUCACAAGGACUCUCUGAAGAUGGCAACGUCUACUCAGUUUCAGGAAUGCGCUAAAUUAUGCUCUUUUAAUAGUAAAUUGAUUCAGCUGUACGCCAUCUACUCCAAUGUUUCAGUUCAGUCAGUUUGUCUUCCUAGAGCAAUGGCAUUAUGUUUCGUCAAGAUACUUCUUGUCCUGGUAAUUCGAAGCUCUAGGUUUCGUCAAGCAUUGGUAUCUCUUUGGCAAAAGCAUGUUGUGUUACUUGGUACAACAUUUAACAUCUGCAGAAGAGGUGCUACCUUUUCUCUGUGGCCUAUGGAGUUUGGAGAUCGAAUGAGCAGAAAACCUUGUCCGUUUAUCACUGUUCUUUUACAAGCAAAUCGCCUUUCAUAAAUGUUGGUGUAGACAACCAUUUCCGUCGAAAUUUGAUAUUUGUUUCUCACUGGAAGUUUGAAAGCUUCACACAACCAUUUGGGGUUACUUACUUCAUGCACUGAAUCUGGUGGCGCGAGGUUUUAAUGGAACAGAGGCCAAGAGAUACUGGCUUUCAACAUCAAAUCUCUCAUCUAUUCUGGAGACAAUGUUUUCCUCCCAGAAGUGAGUACUUUUUCCAGGUUCUGGAUAUUCAGUUUGGACUCUCCAUUACUUGAGGGAUCCUCCUUGUGAUGUGUUCAAGGUUUCCUGUACGGCCUAGUGCUAUUGCUUUCUUUUUACUUUUAUAUCUUGUUCUCUUUUUAGAUGUUUUUAUUCUAUGUUGCCUCAUUUAUCACAGUUGCCUCUGUGUUCAU